CCUACGGGAGGCAGCAGUGAGGAAUAUUGGUCAAUGGCCGGGAGGCUGAACCAGCCAAGUCGCGUGAGGGAAGACGGCCCUACGGGUUGUAAACCUCUUUUGUCAGGGAGCAAGGUGCAGGUCGGGACCUGCUGUGAGAGUACCUGAAGAAAAAGCAUCGGCUAACUCCGUGCCAGCAGCCGCGGUAAUACGGAGGAUGCGAGCGUUAUCCGGAUUUAUUGGGUUUAAAGGGGGCGCAGGCGGACGCACAAGUCAGCGGUAAAAUCGCGGGGCUCAACCCCGCUCCGCCGUUGAAACUGUGUGCCUUGAGUGCGCGGAGGGUAGGCGGAAUGCGUGGUGUAGCGGUGAAAUGCAUAGAUAUCACGCAGAACUCCGAUCGCGAAGGCAGCCUACCGGCGCGCAACUGACGCUCAUGCACGAAAGCGUGGGUAUCGAACAGGAUUAGAUACCCCUGUAGUC
rnacentral:rRNA from 1 species